UACAGAGGUCUCAAGCGUUUGUUCGGAUUCAUUGGGCGUAAAGGGUGCGUAGGCGGCGUGGUAAGUCGGAUGUGAAAUCUCGGAGCUUAACUCCGAAACUGCAUUCGAUACUGCCGUGCUUGAGGACUGGAGAGGAGACUGGAAUUUACGGUGUAGCGGUGAAAUGCGUAGAUAUCGUAAGGAAGACCAGUGGCGAAGGCGGGUCUCGUGGACAGUUCCUGACGCUGGAGGCACGAAAGGCCCAGGGGGAGCAAAACGGGG
rnacentral:rRNA from 1 species